CCUCUGUUCACUUAAAUACAUGCAGGCAUGAUUUUGGUUUCAUAUAAUCGGAUCGCUGUCUGCAGAAACAUGAGGCCUGUGGUUUUGGGUUUGUUUCUGUGCACUGUCCUUCCUCUGGUCAAUGCUGCAUGCUUCACCACUGGACAC